rnacentral:rRNA from 1 species
GACGAACCCUGGCGGCGUGCUUAACACAUGCAAGUCGAACGGAAAGGCCCUGCUUUUGUGGGGUGCUCGAGUGGCGAACGGGUGAGUAACACGUGAGUAACCUGCCCUUGACUUUGGGAUAACUUCAGGAAACUGGGGCUAAUACCGGAUAGGAGCUCCUGCCGCAUGGUGGGGGUUGGAAAGUAUCGGCGGUUGGGGAUGGACUCGCGGCUUAUCAGCUUGUUGGUGGGGUAGUGGCUUACCAAGGCUUUGACGGGUAGCCGGCCUGAGAGGGUGACCGGCCACAUUGGGACUGAGAUACGGCCCAGACUCCUACGGGAGGCAGCAGUGGGGAAUAUUGCACAAUGGGCGGAAGCCUGAUGCAGCAACGCCGCGUGCGGGAUGACGGCCUUCGGGUUGUAAACCGCUUUCGCCUGUGACGAAGCGUGAGUGACGGUAAUGGGUAAAGAAGCACCGGCUAACUACGUGCCAGCAGCCGCGGUGAUACGUAGGGUGCGAGCGUUGUCCGGAUUUAUUGGGCGUAAAGGGCUCGUAGGUGGUUGAUCGCGUCGGAAGUGUAAUCUUGGGGCUUAACCCUGAGCGUGCUUUCGAUACGGGUUGACUUGAGGAAGGUAGGGGAGAAUGGAAUUCCUGGUGGAGCGGUGGAAUGCGCAGAUAUCAGGAGGAACACCAGUGGCGAAGGCGGUUCUCUGGGCCUUUCCUGACGCUGAGGAGCGAAAGCGUGGGGAGCGAACAGGCUUAGAUACCCUGGUAGUCCACGCUGUAAACGGUGGGUACUAGGUGUGGGGUCCAUUCCACGGGUUCCGUGCCGUAGCUAACGCUUUAAGUACCCCGCCUGGGGAGUACGGCCGCAAGGCUAAAACUCAAAGGAAUUGACGGGGCCCCGCACAAGCGGCGGAGCAUGCGGAUUAAUUCGAUGCAACGCGUAGAACCUUACCUGGGUUUGACAUGGAUCGGGAGUGCUCAGAGAUGGGUGUGCCUCUUUUGGGGUCGGUUCACAGGUGGUGCAUGGCUGUCGUCAGCUCGUGUCGUGAGAUGUUGGGUUAAGUCCCGCAACGAGCGCAACCCUUGUUCACUGUUGCCAGCACGUUAUGGUGGGGACUCAGUGGAGACCGCCGGGGUCAACUCGGAGGAAGGUGGGGAUGACGUCAAGUCAUCAUGCCCCUUAUGUCCAGGGCUUCACGCAUGCUACAAUGGCUGGUACAGAGAGUGGCGAGCCUGUGAGGGUGAGCGAAUCUCGGAAAGCCGGUCUCAGUUCGGAUUGGGGUCUGCAACUCGACCUCAUGAAGUCGGAGUCGCUAGUAAUCGCAGAUCAGCAACGCUGCGGUGAAUACGUUCCCGGG